AGAGUUUGAUCCUGGCUCAGAACGAACGCUGGCGGCAGGCUUAACACAUGCAAGUCGAGCGCAUCCUUCGGGGUGAGCGGCAGACGGGUGAGUAACACGUGGGAAUCUACCCUUUGGUACGGAAUAACGCAGAGAAAUUUGCGCUAAUACCGUAUGUGUCCUCCGGGAGAAAGAUUUAUCGCCAAAGGAUGAGCCCGCGUCGGAUUAGCUAGUUGGUGUGGUAACGGCGCACCAAGGCGACGAUCCGUAGCUGGUCUGAGAGGAUGAUCAGCCACAUUGGGACUGAGACACGGCCCAAACUCCUACGGGAGGCAGCAGUGGGGAAUAUUGGACAAUGGGCGCAAGCCUGAUCCAGCCAUGCCGCGUGAGUGAUGAAGGCCCUAGGGUUGUAAAGCUCUUUCACCCACGACGAUAAUGACGGUAGUGGGAGAAGAAGCCCCGGCUAACUUCGUGCCAGCAGCCGCGGUAAUACGAAGGGGGCUAGCGUUGUUCGGAAUCACUGGGCGUAAAGCGUACGUAGGCGGACCGUUAAGUCGGGGGUGAAAUCCUGGGGCUCAACCCCAGAACAGCCUUCGAUACUGGCGGUCUCGAGUCCGGGAGAGGUGAGUGGAACUGCCAGUGUAGAGGUGAAAUUCGUAGAUAUUGGCAAGAACACCAGUGGCGAAGGCGGCUCACUGGCCCGGUACUGACGCUGAGGUACGAAAGCGUGGGGAGCAAACAGGAUUAGAUACCCUGGUAGUCCACGCCGUAAACG
rnacentral:rRNA from 1 species